rnacentral:rRNA from 1 species
UCGGGAAUUUUGGGCAAUGGGCGAAAGCCUGACCCAGCAACGCCGCGUGAAGGAUGAAGUAUUUCGGUAUGUAAACUUCGUAAGAAUAGGAAGAAUAAAUGACGGUACUAUUUGUAAGGUCCGGCUAACUACGUGCCAGCAGCCGCGGUAAUACGUAGGGACCAAGCGUUGUUCGGAUUUACUGGGCGUAAAGGGCGCGUAGGCGGUGUGUCAAGUCAGUUGUGAAAUCUCCGAGCUUAACUCGGAACGGUCAACUGAUACUGUCACACUAGAGUACAGAAGGGGCAAUCGGAAUUCUUGGUGUAGGCGGUGAAAUGCGUAGAUAUCAAGAGGAACACCUGAGGCGAAGGCGGGUUGCUGGGCUGAUACUGACGCUGAGGCGCGAAAGCUAGGGUAGCAAACGGGAUUAGAUACCCUGGUAGUCCCUGAGCGGGCUGGCAAGGCGCAU